AAUCCAGGCACGGCUACCAAGCUCACUAGUCCCACUCAUUUGAGACAUAGUGACUCACUCACUAAUUCCUCACCAUGGGAAUUAGCUACCACCCCAAAUGGGCCAUGCUAUGCACGCUAAUCACCUAGCAUGCAAACAUCAACAACAAUCAAAAUGAUUUACUCACUAAUUCCUCACCAUGGGAAUUAGCUACCACCCCAAAUGGGCCACAAUAUGCAUGCUAAUCACCUAGCAAUGCAACAACAACAACAACUCAAGAAUAGACAUAUGCUCACACUCUAAGCCAUAAAGCAGUCUAUUCACAAAUGCAUACAUAACUAAUACAUUCACAGCAUCAUCAACACAUUUUAUCACAAGGCAUAUCAUAUCAUACCUCAUCAUCAAACACAGUAUUAGCACACUCUACUAAUACCUAUACUACUCAAAAC
rnacentral:lncRNA from 1 species